AAUAUUGGGCAAUGGACGGAAGUCUGACCCAGCCAUGCCGCGUGCAGGAAGACGGCCUUCUGGGUUGUAAACUGCUUUUAUAUAGGAAGAAAACACCCAUGCGUGGGAAACUGACGGUACUAUAUGAAUAAGCACCGGCUAACUCCGUGCCAGCAGCCGCGGUAAUACGUAGGGGUCGAGCGUUGUCCGAGUUACUGGGCGUAAAGCGCAUGCAGGCUGCUCAUUACGCAUGGCGUGAAAGCCCCCGGCUUAACCGGGGAGGGUCGUCGUGAACGGGUGAGCUUGAGGAUAUCAGGGGCUGGUGGAAUUCCCGGUGUAGUGGUGAAAUGCGUAGAUAUCGGGAGGAACACCUGUGGCGAAGGCGGCCAGCUGGGAUAUACCUGACGCUGAGAUGCGAAGGCGUGGGGAGCGAACGG
rnacentral:rRNA from 1 species